rnacentral:rRNA from 1 species
GAUGAACGCUGGCGGCGUGCCUAAUACAUGCAAGUCGAGCGAACAGACGAGGAUCUUGCUCCUUUGACGUUAGCGGCGGACGGGUGAGUAACACGUGGGUAACCUACCUAUAAGACUGGGAUAACUUCGGGAAACCGGAGCUAAUACCGGAUAAUAUUUCGAACCGCAUGGUUCGAUAGUGAAAUAUGGCUUUGCUAUCACUUAUAGAUGUACCUGCGCCGUAUUAGCUAGUUGGUAAGGUAACGGCUUACCAAGGCAACGAUACGUAGCCGACAUGAGAGGGUGAUAGGCGACACUGGAACUGAGACACGGACCAGACUACUACGGGAGGCAGCAGUAGGGAAUCUUCCGCAAUGGGCGAAAGCAUGACGGAGCAACGCCGCGUGAGUGAUGAAGGUCUUCGGAUCGUAAAACUCUGUUAUUAGGGAAGAAGAAACGUGUAAGUAACUGUGCACGUCGUGACGGUACCUAAUCAGAAAGCCACGGCUAACUACGUG